ACAAGGUGGGAAUGUGCGAGCAGGUUUUUUGGACUUAUUACUUCAUGAUUUAUUCCUAGGAGACAAGAUGCAUAUCAAAACCUUUUAGCAGACUAGCGGAUUCAGCCUUCUCGAGAAGGGCCAUUCCAAAUACUGCUGAACAUUCUGACUGCCAUCAAGAUUGGAGAAAAAGAUUUGGAUUCAUUGUUCCCACGGAAAAAAUGGAAAAAUUGCAACCUGUUAGCAACCUUAUGAAAGAAUACUUCAAAGUAUGACCAAUAAGAGAAAUCAGUUACCCUGAGGUUUCACUUCAUAUCUAGAUAAUUGGCAAAGAUGACAAAAUGACAAGUUUUCCCUUAAAGAAGAGAUAUGAGAAGACACUAUCCUAACUUCUUCAUAUAGAAUGUAGUCUACCUGUGGAUUAUACAAUAUCAGUUUUUUUCAAUGUAUUGAGCAGUUUUGCUGAUUUUUUUCUCUUCUUGUCCCCCCCCUUUAAAAAAAAUUCUGUGUCAAGUUCUGAAUUACAAGGAAGUUGUUGUAAAAACAGAAAAGACAAUAAAA